rnacentral:rRNA from 1 species
GAUGAACGCUGGCGGCGUGCCUAAUACAUGCAAGUCGAGCGAAUGGAUUAAGAGCUUGCUCUUAUGAGGUUAGCGGCGGACGGGUGAGUAACACGUGGGUAACCUGCCCAUAAGACUGGGAUAACUCCGGGAAACCGGGGCUAAUACCGGAUAACAUUUUGAACCGCAUGGUUCGAAAUUGAAAGGCGGCUUCGGCUGUCACUUAUGGAUGGACCCGCGUCGCAUUAGCUAGUUGGUGAGGUAACGGCUCACCAAGGCAACGAUGCGUAGCCGACCUGAGAGGGUGAUCGGCCACACUGGGACUGAGACAAUGCCCAGACUCCUACGGGGGGCAGCAGUAGGGAAUCUUCCGCAAUGGACGAGAGUCUGACGGAGCAACGCCGCGUGAGUGAUGAAGGCUUUCGGGUCGUAAAACUCUGUUGUUAGGGAAGAACAAGUGCUAGUUGAAUAAGCUGGCACCUUGACGGUACCUAACCAGAAAGCCACGGCUAACUACGCGCCAGCCGCCGCGGUAA